rnacentral:lncRNA from 1 species
AAAUAAAAGUAAAUAAAUCAGAUAAAGCUUGACAUCAUUUGCAAACUUAGAUCAAGAACCCCAUGGUCAGAUAUGAGACAAAAGAGAAAAUGAAAGACAUGAAAAGCAAGCAAUGUCCUCUUGAUAAGCCACAUUUAAUAGCAGAUACUCCAAAACCGUUGUAUCAUGUUACAGAAAUCAAUAACAAUUAUUUCUUUGGUGGAACUCUUAGUGGGUCUUAUGGUUUUGUAAUAACAGAUGAUAGAAAUAGAAAGCAAUAAAAUUACGAAAACAGUCCUUUCUAUAUGCUUCUACUGAGUUUUCAAGGAAAAAAAUAACCCAAAAAUAUUGCAUUUUACAUGGGGCAAUUUAUUAAUCACACAGUUUACAAGGAAACAAAGUCAUUUAUGUAAAAUGGAUGGUGAAGGGCCAUUGGAUGACUCUCAUGUUUCAUGCCGUUACCAAACAGAUUCUUCACUGGGAUACCUUCACGCUUCAUUGCUAUUACCUAACAGACGCUAUACUGGCAUUUCACCUAGACAUCAGCUAUUAGGUAUAACCUUGUUUGAUAAGAAAACAUAAAAAGGAAAGGGAUAUUCUGAAACUUUUAUAACUGCCUUAAUAUGUAAGAUGUUGCAUUUAGGGACAAGCUCAGAAAGCAAGGUUCAAAGAGAAAAUGUAAGUGACUGAGCAUAAUUAUAUGGGAAUAAAUAAUAGAGUUUUGAAAUUAAAGAAAUUUGUCAAAAUUAAACAAUAUAGUAACAUUGACAAGUUGGUUUGGCAGUAGAGAACUAUAGAUCAUAAAUGUAAACCUGUGGAUUCGUGAGUGCAAGAUAUAAAGGAGAUGCAGUGUGAAAAACACCAUCACAACCCUCAACCACAGCAUCAAAGGACCCCUCUUCUAAUAAGUUGGCUUUAUACAAAAGCAACCUCUCCGUGGCUCCCUCCAGAGCACGCAAGUGCUGAGUCUUCUUUUGAUCAGCUGACAAGAAUGAUUUCAAAAUAUUGAAAAGAAGACAAAAGAAUUAAGGUACAGAGGAAGUAUACAAAUAUAUAAUCUUAUAUCAUCAAUAUAAUUAUUAUAUUAAGGGUUCCAACAUGAUUUAAGUCAUCAAUAUUAAAGGAAGAUCAGAUUACAGUCAGGGUAAUUUAGGUUUCUUCCCACAAGAUAUAUCCAAUAAACCUGGUGUUUUAGGCAAAGGCUAUGAAUGUAAAGCAAUAGGCAAACAGAGUAGGAAUAUUUGCGUGCAUAUUUACAAUAAAAGAUUCUUUCAAGGAAACAAACAUCGAGCAGGAAAAUAUCAUGUAAAUCAGUUUUCCAUGGAUUGAUGCAAUUGAGCAGGAAAAUACUUCAAAACUACUACUCUCUUGUUUAUGCAAACUGUAGCCAAUUGAAAAAUAUUAAAUAAGUAUAUUCUUAUAAGCCCCCAUCUAAAUUUUAAGCCCAUUAAUCAGAAACUGUAAUCAUUUGCACAUUCAGGAUUGUUACUUGUUUUCAUUUCUAAUAGUCGGAUACUCAGCCGAAUGAUGAUUACCUUCAAUCUUUUUGCUCUGUUUUUUAAUUUUGAAAGUUACACACACCACAAACAGACAUCAUUUUGGAUAUACCCCAAGAACAGUUUCAUAUUUGAUCAAUUCAGAUCAUGAUGCAGAUGUGUGACUCACAACAUCCGGAAUAAAUAACAUAGGCUUCCCACUCCUUUGUUCUUAGAAUUCGAGCUCACGCAAUCAUCUUGUGGGAUUGCAAAAGGUCCGAAAACAUUUAGAAGGGAAGAGAUCCAAACGAUCGAGAGUGUGCUAGAUGAGUCGAAUCUACUCUUCAGAAGAAUACCGAGUUUAGCACGAACCAGGGUCACGCACGGAGGCGCGUACGGUGUAGCCGCGCUGGAGGAGGAGCUUCACAAGCCACGAGGCGAUGAAGCCGGACGCGCCCGUGACACAAACCACCUUCCCGCCGCCGCUCAUCGUGACCACAGCUCUCGCUCGGCCGGUCGCUGUUUUAGUGGAAGAGCAGGCAAAGGAUCGCAGUGGUCUGUCGAGAAGGCCGCUCCUCUGCGGCAUAAAUAGGGCGCCAAAGGCGGAAGAUAAUUAUCGGACGGCCAACUCCAUCCGCUGCUCUAACACUAACAUCACAUGACGUUACGAAUUACGACACCUGCCUGCGGCGGCACAUCGCAUCUUGCUUGUCGAGAUGGGUGAUAGUAUAAACGGAAAAGGGACAAUUCAAGUAAUCUUACCGCUUGUUUUGGACAUGAAUUUAACCAUGGAAUGAUCAGUCUGCUGACAGAGUGCCUAUCGCUAAACGCUCGUAAUCUUUUGUCAUGGUGUGCCUGUUGUGCGUGCAUUUUAUGAACUCCGAAGUCAACCCAGCUUGGGUGUUUUGGAUCCAGAAGGAAGAAGCAUGUUGCUCCUGCUGAGCUAUGCCCCAUUCUGGUAACACUUCACAAGAUAUUGAGGAGACAAAAGAUGGAUGAUUAUUCAACAUUUCCCCUGCUUAUUUCAAGUCCGUUCAUAUGUUUGGAUUCACAAGAUUUCACUUUGGUCACUGAUUCGGGUGCGAUCCUUCCAGCACAGAAAGACAAAACAAUGAAUCGAUCCAACCGAGAUGGCACUGAAUCAUGCUUUCGACAGGCCAUCAAUUUUGGGUCAGCCAUGACCGACGAUGUCGACUUCGAUGCGCUGUCAUGGUCGUUGUUCAGCUUGAUGAGUUUUGCAGUCGGAGUAAUAGGGUCUUUUUUCUUCUGUUGUCUGAAUCAAAUGUCAGAUGAGUUGGAGGAAUACAUCAGAAACCAAAUUGACUCAAAAAAAUUUACUUACUAAAGAGGGUUAAUCCAUUGAACUCACUAUUAAGUGACUUAUUCUUCAUCAAGAUAUCGAGAGUUUAAAAACUUCAUUCAGUAGUUUUUUUAAUAGCGAUCUUAAUUAUCGGUAUCAAUGUCCUAAAAUGAAAUCUUAUCUUCAUCACUUAUCUUUUUCUAAUAAAUUUACAAAAUUUUCAAAAAUAAGAAUAAAUUUUAUUUUUAUUGCUUCAAAGUUCUCUUCUUAUUUAUGUUUAGAUGACAUUUUCAUUUAGAAUGAAUAAUUGUCCAAUCCAUUUCUUUGAUUUUACUUCUCAUCCUCAUAGAGAUAUUUAGUUUGUGUAAUAUGAGGAUGGAACAAGAUAACAACUAACCACACUUAUAUUAUAUGAAGAACACAUUCCAAUAUAAACUUAUAAUCUAUCACACCAACAACAGGCAUGACACCAUAAUGGAGCACAAAUAUGUCCUCGUUUCUAAAAAACAAAUUGCAUGUGCUGAAAAGAUCAAUUACAGGAUUAUGCAAUGCAUGAUUUACUGCUUCAAAGUUCGACAAGCAUCGCCAUUGAUCUGGGAUGCAAAAUUAUUUAUUAUGCUAAUUCAAGUUUUAGAAAUUAAUAAAGUUCUUCUCCUUCAGGCUCUCGAUCGUUUCCUUGAUGCUUGUUUCCAGAGGGAUGUAGUAGAGGCCCAAGCUUUUAAACUUUUCCUUGGAGACUUUGUAUACCGGCACAAAGGGCUUGUCAUCUGCACACCUGCCAACGUUAUGGUCACAGCUUAGUACACCAAAAGGAGAUGGUAGCCACAGAAUGUACUAAAAUUACAGCUUCCUUUUAUAGAAUCAUUUCUUCAGCCAUUAGUGACCGAUGAACAAGCAAUGGCAAAGACCUCGAUACAAUGUACAUGGCAAGAAGAACAAGCUGGUCAUAGCCACUAAAUGAAUUAUACCAGAGGAAAGCUAUGCCAGCAUUACAGAAUGUUACUGACUAAUUUAUAUGGUGCACAUUAUCAGAUAUCAAUAUGAUCGGAUGUUCAGAAGUUCUAGAACUCUUUCAGUUCAAAACAAAAGUUAAGAACUAUGAACUUCGUACAGUAGAACUUAGCAGAACUCAGACGAAGAUAUGCUUUGAGAACCAUUCUCCUUGUGUCUUGCUGUUGUUGGGUCUUAUUGCUAUUUCAUUACUACUAUGUUUUUAAUUCUAGGAGAGAUGGUUAUAUGUAUCACUUAGAAUUGCACGGAUGACGAUAAAGAGAGUGAAAGUAAAGACAGAAGGAUAAUAAAUAAAAUAAAAUAAGUAAUUGCAUCAUCCAUUGGCCUAAUCUAAAGAACAGACAUUAUAGAAGCACACAACAAUGAGACCAUGGGGUAUGCCUAAUCUGGAACUUAGAUUUUAUAUCCUAUAUACAUCAAAAUUGCAAUUAUACAAAAUGCCUAAUAAUAAAACCAUAAGCCGUCGUGUUCCAAACAAAAUUAUUUGAAAUCAGUUAUAUGGAUCUUUCCCUAUCAUUAAGUCAUGUAUAAGAUAAUAAUUUUAGAUGAAUAAAAUAUCAUACAAAUCCUUUUUUAUUAUUACUACUAACAUCUUCUUAAGUCGUCCGCUAACCCUCUUUCCACCACAACUAUUAAUUGAGUCAUCUUUUCAAACUAUAACGUACGUGUUUACUUUGGACAUGUUCAUCUUAAUUUGGAUACUCCUCGUUUUAUAUUUUAUCGUAAACACACCUAAUUCUCUAUGAUUGAAGUCAUUUUUUUUUUAUCCUCCCUAAUAAUUUUGUAUGUUCAUCUCAGUUACUAAACUUUUUUGUACAUAUUCUUGCCAAACAAUCCAAUACUCAGAUUGGUAGCCACAAAACCACCAAUGCACCUACCAAUUUUAAUUAUCUAAUUUUUAUUUUAUAAACAAUGUCUUCAUCAAUCUCUCCAUGUUGUUCAACAAUAGAUCCAAGAUUUUUUUUAUUUUACAAUAAAGGCUAAGCACCAUUAAAAAAUUGCAAUACUAUGAGAAGCAUGAAACUUGAAAGAAAGAUCAGUAACCACCGAGCAAACUCUUCAGAUAUAACGGAUAGAAUUUUGUCAUCAAUCAACAAGACUAGUAGACACGGCACUUGGAUCACAAGACAAAAAAAGCAACCGAAAAUAGUAACUUACUUAUCAGGGAGUUGAAAAGAAGGAUAAAGUUCAUGUAUGAUCUUCAAAAUCUCUGAGUAAUGAACAACUCUUUCGACAAGACAGUAUCUUCCUGAUGCUGAGGGAAGUUCAAAAGCGAGAACAUGCGCCAUGGCAACAUCUUGAACAUUUACCCACCCAAAGGUUGCAUUAGGAAACGUGGAGGAACCUAAAGACAAAAAGAACAGAUAGCCAAAGUCAUAAUUCUCUUAUACGAACCAUUUUCUAGAAAAUAAUUACCAAGACUUGGAAGAAUCAAAACCAUUCUAGGAUAUAGAUCUCAACCAAAACAUUCAACACUGCACAUUGAGACAGCAGGCACUUUAAAUACAUUGACAGAACAUGAUCUUGAUAUGUCGUAUUGUUUGGUUGCCAGAAAAAUGAUAAAGUCAGCAUUAACAACAUAUUCUUCCCAUCCUCGACGUAGCCAUCAGGCUACACUUGCCUACUCCUAAGCAAUAAAUAUUUAAUUUUAAGAUUCAGUAUCCAAAAUCACAUCAUCACCAAGGUCCGCAAUACCGUACCGUACCGGAGUUUCGACCUGGGCUCGGUACCGGUAUGGUAUGGUAUACCGAGCGGUACACCCAGGUGUACCGCUCGGUAUAUUUAGGCGUGCCGACUGUAGCACUGCUACAGUGCUACAGUGCUGCGACAGUAUCUGGCAGAUCUAUUUGGCCAAAUGAGAAUAUCAUCAUCAAUUUGUACAGUUAUCUGGCAGCUAGAAUGGAAUGAUGCUAAUGGGCAAACAGAAACCAAGGCCUCAAUAUCUAACAGAGACAGCAUGAAAUCACUUGAUAACCAGCCAUCUAGUCAUUUACAACAAUAUCAUUUGCGAUUUAGAAGUUGUCAGGAUAUUAGAAAACUUCAUUUGAGACUGACAAAUUGCAGAGUAAAAGUUCCACACUAGGAUCAGAUUUGAAACAAAUUAAGAUUCAUACCAUUUAUUAGGUUCAGGAUUGCAGCAGAACUUGUGUUAAGUGUUGACUGCAGAAGAGGACCUGUGACCAUUCCUGGAUUUAUCGUGACUAUAUCUAUGCCAUUCUCUUUAGAAAACUUCCAAGCAGCUUCCUCUGCCAAAGUCUUCGAGAGUACAUACCAUUGCUGGGGUAAUAUGAGAGAUCUUAGAAAACAUGCAUAAUAAAAAGUUGAUUUUUUUUAUUGAAGGCAUCUAUAAAGAAAAAAGAUUUGAGAUGUAAUAAACUUAAAUCCAAAGAAAAUAACUAAUAACAAACAAAUAGAAGGUGCAACAAUACAGACACGGACAUUGUUGGAUUUUUUUUUUUUUUGACAUGGACAUUGUUAUUUAUGACAAUUCCAGUCGAAAUAUAAAUAUGAAUAGAUUAGAGACUUACUGGGAAGUUUUAAGUAGUCCAUGUAUUGUCACUUCACUAAACGCACCAUAUUGCAGAAUUCAGAGUCCAAUUAUUUUUUGAGGCAAUAUGUUUGGCCAAAUUAGUAAAUCACAAUACUAAAAACCUGAGUACAAUCAGUACUAGAUACUAUGAUUUAAUAUCUUUUUAUUUCUUUCUCAUUCCCAACCCAGAGAAUCCACUGCCAAGGCUGAAACAGUCUGCUUUCAGCACCACAUGGACCACAACCAGAGUACUGCUAUAUUACACUGCUAUACAUAAGUAUUUAGGUGUUCCUUCUUGCCAGACUAUCAUCCAGAUAGAAUGGGUUUUAUUAGUUGGUAUUCAUUAUUUUCUUUUAGUGAUAAUUUACAUGCAGGACUGAUCUUAUCCUAGGAUGCUACAAUCCCUUCCAAGCUGAAAAAAAGACUACAAGGUGGUCCAAUCUCUUUCAAACUAAUGCCAAACCAUCAUCUUCACACUUGAAUGGGACAUAAAAUCUCAGCCAGGAGAAAUCAAGCAUUAUCUUGAAGACCAAUUUAAGAUUGUAUAAUACGACUUUCAGCCUAGCUAGCAUGGCCAUGACAAUCGGUCUUCAGUUAUUAUAACCCACAUAUAGCAGUCUUCAUAACUUUAACAGCAUGGUUCUCCAAAAUCAUCCAAGUGACUGUAUAUUGUAUUCAGAAGGUUACUAGAUAAACUUGUCUCACAACCUUCGCAUAAUAUUGUGUAUAUUAUCUGGUGUGUUGCAAAUACAUGACAGAAAGGUUUUCUAAAAUAAAGGAAUCUUUAGACAUUAAAUUAGCAUUUUACAAAGGUUAUGGCCAUGAUGUGCGGUACCUUACGAUAAAAUAAUAUAGGGAGCACUGAAAUAGAAUAUAGAUACAUUAAAACCUAUGACAUGAUUGCAGUUGAAAAGAUAAUACACAAACAAUAAAACUAUCCAGUACGUACUGUCAGAUACCUUUUGCUGCUCGCAAACCUCAGGACUUGAAAACCAUGUCUCAUCAACAACUACAUCAGGAGUUCGUGGUUUACUAUUGUAUGCAACAGCAGCCAUUGAUGAUGUCACCACGACCUUUUUCACAGAUGAAUUCUUACAGGAUGCCAAAACAUUGAGUGUGCCCUUCACUGCAGGCUCAAUUAACUCAGCCUAAAAUUUUAGUAAAUAAAUCAGAUAAAGCUUGACAUCAUUUGCAAAUCAGAUAUGAGAUAAAAGAGACAAUGAUAGACAUGAAAAGCAAGCAAUGUCCUCUUGAUAAGCAACAUCUAAUAGCAGAUACUCCAAAACCAUUGUAUCAUGUUACAGAGAAUCAACAACAACUAUUUCUUUGGUGGAACUCUUUGUGGGUCUUAUGGUUUUGUAAUAACAGCUGAUAGAAAUAGAAAGCAAUAAAAUUAUGAAAACAGUCCUUUCUAUAUGCUUUUACUGAGUUUUCAAGGCAAAAAUAACCCAAAAAUAUUGCAUUUUACAUGGGGCAAGUUACUAAUCACACAGUUUACAAAGAAACGAACUCAUUUAUGUAAAAUGGAUGGUGAAGGGCCAUUGGAUGACCCUCAUGUUCCAUGCCAUUACCAAACAGAUUUACACUGGGAUACCUUCAUGCUCCGUUGCUGUUACCUAACAGACGCUGUACUGGCAUUUCAACUAGAUAUCAUCUAUUAGGUAUAACCUUGUUUGAUAAGAAAACAUAAAAAGGAAAGGGAUAUUCCAAAACUUUUAUAACUGCCUUAAUAUGUAAGUGUUGCAUUUAGGGACAAACUCAGAAAGCAAGGUUCAAAGAGACAAUGUAAGUGAAUGAGCGUAAUUAUAUGUGCAUAAAUAAUAGAGUUGUGAAAUUAAAGAAACUUGUCAAAAAUUAAACAAUAUAGUAACAUUGACAGGUUGGUUUGGCAGUAGAGAACUAGAGAUCAUAAAUG